rnacentral:tRNA from 1 species
GGUCUAGUAGUGUAGCGGUUAUCACUCAAGAUUCUGAUUCUUGUAACCCAGGUUCGAUUCCUGGCUGGACCU